UGGGGAAUUUUGGACAAUGGGCGAAAGCCUGAUCCAGCAAUGCCGCGUGUGUGAAGAAGGCCUUCGGGUUGUAAAGCACUUUUGUCCGGAAAGAAAUCCUUGGCUCUAAUACAGUCGGGGGAUGACGGUACCGGAAGAAUAAGCACCGGCUAACUACGUGCCAGCAGCCGCGGUAAUACGUAGGGUGCAAGCGUUAAUCGGAAUUACUGGGCGUAAAGCGUGCGCAGGCGGUUUGCUAAGACCGAUGUGAAAUCCCCGGGCUCAACCUGGGAACUGCAUUGGUGACUGGCAGGCUAGAGUAUGGCAGAGGGGGGUAGAAUUCCACGUGCAGCAGUGAAAUGCGUAGAGAUGUGGAGGAAUACCGAUGGCGAAGGCAGCCCCCUGGGCCAAUACUGACGCUCAUGCACGAAAAGCGUGGGGAGCAAAACAGGAUUAGAUACCCUGGUAGUCCACGCCCUAAAACGAUGUCAACUAGUUGUU
rnacentral:rRNA from 1 species